rnacentral:rRNA from 1 species
AGAGCGAACGCUGGCGGCAGGCCUAAUACAUGCAAGUCGAACGGAUCCUUCGGGAUUAGUGGCGGACGGGUGAGUAACACGUGGGAACGUGCCUUUUGGUUCGGAACAACUCAGGGAAACUUGAGCUAAUACCGAAUGUGCCCUUCGGGGGAAAGAUUUAUCGCCAUUAGAGCGGCCCGCGCCUGAUUAGCUAGUUGGUGGGGUAAUGGCCCACCAAGGCUACGAUCAGUAGCUGGUCUGAGAGGAUGAUCAGCCACACUGGGACUGAGACACGGCCCAGACUCCUACGGGAGGCAGCAGUAGGGAAUCUUGCGCAAUGGGCGAAAGCCUGACGCAGCCAUGCCGCGUGAAUGAUGAAGGUCUUAGGAUUGUAAAAUUCUUUCAGCGGGGACGAUAAUGACGGUACCCGCAGAAGAACGCCCGGCUAACUUCGCGCCAGCAGCCGC